rnacentral:rRNA from 1 species
CCCCUAGAUGUUCUGGGCCGCACGCGCGCUACACUGAACAGUUCAACAAGUCUUAACCUUGGCCGAUAGGUCUGGGUAAUCUUUGAACGCUGUUCGUGAUUGGGAUAGACCUUUGCAAUUAUGGGUCUUCAACGAGGAAUUCCUAGUAAACGCAAGUCAUCAGCUUGCAUUGAUUACGUCCCUGCCCUUUGUACACACCGCCCGUCGCACCUACCGAUUGAAUGGUCCGGUGAAAUCUCGGGACGGCGGCUUGGUCGCUUGCGUCCGACGGCUGAAACUUGAUUAAACCAUAUCAUUUAGAGGAAGGUGAANUCGUANCA